GCCUACGGGGGGCAGCAGUGAGGAAUAUUGGUCAAUGGUCGGGAGACUGAACCAGCCAAGCCGCGUGAGGGAUGAAGGUACAGAGUACCGUAAACCUCUUUUGUCAGGGAACAAAGGCGGGGACGUGUCCCCGGAUGAGUGUACCUGAAGAAAAAGCAUCGGCUAACUCCGUGCCAGCAGCCGCGGUAAUACGGAGGAUGCGAGCGUUAUCCGGAUUUAUUGGGUUUAAAGGGUGCGCAGGCGGUCUGUUAAGUCAGCGGUAAAAUCGCGGGGCUCAACCUCGCCCCGCCGUUGAAACUGGCGUU
rnacentral:rRNA from 1 species